GGUGAAGCCGCGAUAGCUCAUUACAACAGCCAUAGUUUAUUGGAUCUUAUACUAUACUUGGAUACCUGUAGUAAUUCUAGAGCUAAUACACGCAACGAAGCCGCAGCCCCUGGGUGUGGUGCAUUUAUUAGAACAAAACCAAUCGGGUUGGCCCGUCUUUUGGUGAAUCUGAAUAACUCACUAAUCGCACAGUCCUCGCACUGGCGAUGUGUCUUUCAAGUGUCUGCCUUAUCAACUUUCGAUGGUAGUUUACAUGACUACCAUGGUUGUAACGGGUAACGGAGAAUAAGGGUUCGACUCCGGAGAGGGAGCCUGAGAAAUGGCUACCACAUCCAAGGGGGGCAGGG
rnacentral:rRNA from 1 species